rnacentral:rRNA from 1 species
CCUACGGUGAGCUGCAGUGGGGAAUAUUGCGCAAUGGGCGAAAGCCUGACGCAGCGACGCCGCGUGAGGGAUGAAGGUCUUCGGAUCGUAAACCUCUGUCAGCAGGGAAGAACGGUCACUGUGCUAAUCAGCAGUGAAUUGACGGUACCUGCAAAGGAAGCACCGGCUAACUACGUGCCAGCAGCCGCGGUAAUACGGCGGGUGCGAGCGUUAAUCGGAAUUACUGGGCGUAAAGCGCUCGUAGGCGGUAUGUCAAGUCAAGGGGGAAAUCCCCGCCCUCAACGUGGGAACUGCCUUUGAAACUGGCAAACUGGAGGGGGUGAGAGGAAAGGGGAAUUGCAGGUGUAGG